GUGGCACAUGUGACCAGAUGACGACUGAUGCUCCUCCUCAGGAAUUUUGAACAUGAGCACACGCAUGACAGUUUCGUUAUCUCCAGGGAACCGGAGCUAAGGAAAUAUUUUGCAUAUGGACAUUUAUUCUAGACUUUGAUUCAGACUGUGUUCAAGUCCCCUCCACUCAAGAUAAUGGCA
rnacentral:lncRNA from 1 species